rnacentral:rRNA from 1 species
GGUGAGUAACGCGUAAGUAACCUACCUCUAAGUGGGGGAUAGCUUCGGGAAACUGAAGGUAAUACCGCAUGUGAUGGGCUGACAUAAGUCGGUUCAUUAAAGCCGCAAGGUGCUUGGUGAGGGGCUUGCGUCCGAUUAGCUAGUUGGUGGGGUAAUGGCCUACCAAGGCUUCGAUCGGUAGCUGGUCUGAGAGGAUGAUCAGCCACACUGGGACUGAGACACGGCCCAGACUCCUACGGGAGGCAGCAGCAAGGAAUCUUGGGCAAUGGGCGAAAGCCUGACCCAGCAACGCCGCGUGAGGGAUGAAGGCUUUCGGGUUGUAAACCUCUUUUCACAGGGAAGAAUAAUGACGGUACCUGUGGAAUAAGCUUCGGCUAACUACGUGCCAGCAGCCGCGGUAAUACGUAGGAAGCAAGCGUUAUCCGGAUUUAUUGGGCGUAAAGUGAGCGUAGGUGGUCUUUCAAGUUGGAUGUGAAAUUUCCCGGCUUAACCGGGACGUGUCAUUCAAUACUGUUGGACUAGAGUACAGCAGGAGAAAACGGAAUUCCCGGUGUAGUGGUAAAAUGCGU